AUCCUUCUCAGGCUUGGAGUCUCAGAAGUCUGACCUGAGCUGUGGGCUUCCCAGGUAUGUGCAGCACUAUGCCCUGGCCAGUGCCUCUGACCACAUAGAGUGGGUGCUGAAGAACGUGGCCAUCAAGCUGGGGAAGACACGGAAAGUGAAGGUUCUCACAGGCACAGGUAAUGUCAACGUUAUCCAGCCGGAUUAUGCCAUUGCAGCCCGAGACUUCCUCCGUACCUUCCGCAGUGGGCGGUUGGGCCAGGUGAUGCUGGACCGUGACAUUAUACCUGCUUGCUGAUGACAUUGACCCUUGUACUGGCUGGCUGGAGUAUGGUCUCCUGCAUAUUCUAUGGACUACAGCUGGAGUGUUUAAUGCUUAGACCUAUUCCUCCAGUUCAGAAGCUCUCUGUGCUGGUACCUGAGACUCAGGCCCCAGCUCCAAAGGGGACUAUAUUCUCCUGUCUACCAGAGUCUGCUCAGUGUGCUUACUGCUGUCAGGCCCCAGGAGUCCUGCCUCUGUGGCUUGGUCAGGAGGUUUUCUCAGCCUCAAGAAGAGAUAAAUGCUAUCCCAGAGGAGUCUAAGUUAUAAUCUGUAAUUUAAAAAAUGAGUUAAAAGGCCCACUUAAAAAU
rnacentral:lncRNA from 1 species